rnacentral:rRNA from 1 species
GACGAACGCUGGCGGCGUGCUUAACACAUGCAAGUCGAACGAAGUGGCGGACGGGUGAGUAACGCGUAAUCAACCUGCCCUUCAGAGGGGGAUAACAGUUUGAAACGUCUGCUAAUACCGCAUACUGAAGGAGGGGAUUCCGUCUGAUUAGCUAGUUGGAGGGGUAACGGCCAACCAAGGCGAUGAUCAGGAGCCGGUCUGGGAGGAUGAACGGCCAAAUUGGGACUGAGAAACGGCCCAGAAUCCUACGGGAGGCAGCAGUGGGGAAUCUUCCGCAAUGGACGAAAGUCUGACGGAGCAACGCCGCGGGAGUGAUGACGGCUUUCGGGUUGUAAAGCUCUGUUAAUCGGGACGCGGUACCGGAAUAGAAAGCCACGGCUAACUACGUGCCAGCAGCCGCGGUAAUUC